rnacentral:rRNA from 2 species
UCGGGGGAAAGAUUUAUCGCCGAUAGAUCGGCCCGCGUCUGAUUAGCUAGUUGGUGAGGUAAAGGCUCACCAAGGCGACGAUCAGUAGCUGGUCUGAGAGGAUGAUCAGCCACAUUGGGACUGAGACACGGCCCAAACUCCUACGGGAGGCAGCAGUGGGGAAUAUUGGACAAUGGGCGCAAGCCUGAUCCAGCCAUGCCGCGUGAGUGAUGAAGGCCUUAGGGUUGUAAAGCUCUUUUGUCCGGGAAGAUAAUGACUGUACCGGAAGAAUAAGCCCCGGCUAACUUCGUGCCAGCAGCCGCGGUAAUACGAAGGGGGCUAGCGUUGCUCGGAAUCACUGGGCGUAAAGGGCGCGUAGGCGGACUUUUAAGUCGGAGGUGAAAGCCCAGGGCUCAACCCUGGAAUUGCCUUCGAUACUGGGAGUCUUGAGUUCGGAAGAGGUUGGUGGAACUGCGAGUGUAGAGGUGAAAUUCGUAGAUAUUCGCAAGAACACCGGUGGCGAAGGCGGCCAACUGGUCCGAAACUGACGCUGAGGCGCGAAAGCGUGGGGAGCAAACAGGAUUAGAUACCCUGGUAGUCCACGCCGUAAA